GCCAGCAUGGCAUAGUGGUUUGAGUGUUGGACUGCAGCUCUGGAGAUCAGGGUUCAAUUCCCCAUGAAGCA